GAACGUACGCUGGCGGCACGCCUAACACAUGCAAGUCGAACGAAGUAGCAAUACUUAGUGGCAGACGGGUGAGUAACAUGUAGGUAUCUGCCCUAUGGCCUGGAAUAACACGAGGAAACUUGUGCUAAUACCGGAUAAGUCUUUACGGAGAAAGCUUUAUGCACCAUUGGAUGAGCCUGCACUUGAUUAGUUUGUUGGUGGGGUAAUGGCCUACCAAGACUGCGAUCAAUAGCUGAUUUGAGAGGAUGAUCAGCCACAUUGGGACUGAGACACGGCCCAAACUCCUACGGGAGGCAGCAGUGGGGAAUCUUGCACAAUGGAGGAAACUCUGAUGCAGCGAUGCCGCGUGAGUGAAGAAGGCCUUUGGGUUGUAAAGCUCUUUCGUCGGGGAAGAAAAUGACUGUACCCGAAUAAGAAGGUCCGGCUAACUUCGUGCCAGCAGCCGCGGUAAUACGAAGGGACCUAGCGUAGUUCGGAAUUACUGGGCUUAAAGAGUUCGUAGGUGGUUGAAAAAGUUGGUGGUGAAAUCCCAGAGCUUAACUCUGGAACUGCCAUCAAAACUUUUCAGCUAGAGUAUGAUAGAGGAAAGCAGAAUUUCUAGUGUAGAGGUGAAAUUCGUAGAUAUUAGAAAGAAUACCAAUUGCGAAGGCAGCUUUCUGGAUCAUUACUGACACUGAGGAACGAAAGCAUGGGUAGCGAAGAGGAUUAGAUACCCUCGUAGUCCAUGCCGUAAACGAUGUGUGUUAGACGUUGGAAAUUUAUUUUCAGUGUCGCAGCGAAAGCGAUAAACACACCGCCUGGGGAGUACGACCGCAAGGUUAAAACUCAAAUGAAUUGACGGGGACCCGCACAAGUAGUGGAGCAUGUGGUUUAAUUCGAAGAUACGCGCAGAACCUUACCAACACUUGACAUGUUCGUCGCAACUCUAAGAGAUUAGAGUUUUCGGUUCGGCCGGACGAAACACAGGUGCUGCAUGGCUGUCGUCAGCUCGUGUCGUGAGAUGUUGGGUUAAGUCCCGCAACGAGCGCAACCCUCACUUUUAGUUGCCAUCAUUAAGUUGGGCACUCUGAAAGAACUGCCAGUGAUAAGCUGGAGGAAGGUGGGGAUGACGUCAAGUCCUCAUGGCCCUUACGUGUUGGGCUACACACGUGCUACAAUGGUAUCUACAACAGGAAGCAAGGCUGCGAAGUUAAGCAAAUCCCUAAAAGAUACCUCAGUUCGGAUUGCACUCUGCAACUCGAGUGCAUGAAGCUGGAAUUACUAGUAAUCGUGGAUCAGCGUGCCACGGUGAAUGCGUUCCCGGGUCUUGUACACACCGCC
rnacentral:rRNA from 1 species